rnacentral:rRNA from 1 species
UUAAGUUAGAAAGGGCGCACGGUGGAUGCCUUGGCACUAGGAGCCGAUGAAGGACGGGACGAACACCGAUAUGCUUCGGGGAGCUGUAAGCAAGCUUUGAUCCGGAGAUUUCCGAAUGGGGAAACCCACCACUCGUAAUGGAGUGGUAUCCAUAUCUGAAUACAUAGGAUAUGAGAAGGCAGACCCGGGGAACUGAAACAUCUAAGUACCCGGAGGAAGAGAAAGCAAAUGCGAUUCCCUGAGUAGCGGCGAGCGAAACGGGACCAGCCCAAACCAAGAGGCUUGCCUCUUGGGGUUGUAGGACACUCUGUACGGAGUUACAAAGGAACGAGGUAGAUGAAGAGGUCUGGAAAGGCCCGCCAUAGGAGGUAACAGCCCUGUAGUCAAAACUUCGUUCUCUCCUGAGUGGAUCCUGAGUACGGCGGAACACGUGAAAUUCCGUCGGAAUCCGGGAGGACCAUCUCCCAAGGCUAAAUACUCCCUAGUGACCGAUAGUGAACCAGUACCGUGAGGGAAAGGUGAAAAGCACCCCGGAAGGGGAGUGAAAGAGAUCCUGAAACCGUGUGCCUACAAGUAGUCAGAGCCCGUUAACGGGUGAUGGCGUGCCUUUUGUAGAAUGAACCGGCGAGUUACGAUCCCGUGCAAGGUUAAGCAGAAGAUGCGGAGCCGCAGCGAAAGCGAGUCUGAAUAGGGCGAAUUGAGUACGUGGUCGUAGACCCGAAACCAGGUGAUCUACCCAUGUCCAGGGUGAAGUUCAGGUAACACUGAAUGGAGGCCCGAACCCACGCACGUUGAAAAGUGCGGGGAUGAGGUGUGGGUAGGGGUGAAAUGCCAAUCGAACCUGGAGAUAGCUGGUUCUCUCCGAAAUAGCUUUAGGGCUAGCCUCAAGGUAAGAGUCUCGGAGGUAGAGCACUGAUUGGACUAGGGGCCCCUACCGGGUUACCGAAUUCAGUCAAACUCCGAAUGCCGAUGACUUAUCCUUGGGAGUCAGACUGCGAGUGAUAAGAUCCGUAGUCGAAAGGGAAACAGCCCAGACCGCCAGCUAAGGUCCCAAAGUAUACGUUAAGUGGAAAAGGAUGUGGAGUUGCUUAGACAACCAGGAUGUUGGCUUAGAAGCAGCCACCAUUUAAAGAGUGCGUAAUAGCUCACUGGUCGAGUGACUCUGCGCCGAAAAUGUACCGGGGCUAAACGUAUCACCGAAGCUGCGGACUGUUCUUCGAACAGUGGUAGGAGAGCGUUCUAAGGGCUGUGAAGCAAGACCGGAAGGACUUGUGGAGCGCUUAGAAGUGAGAAUGCCGGUAUGAGUAGCGAAAGAGGGGUGAGAAUCCCCUCCACCGAAUGCCUAAGGUUUCCUGAGGAAGGCUCGUCCGCUCAGGGUUAGUCGGGACCUAAGCCGAGGCCGAAAGGCGUAGGCGAUGGAUAACAGGUUGAUAUUCCUGUACCACCUCCUCACCAUUUGAGCAAUGGGGGGACGCAGGAGGAUAGGGUAAGCGCGGUAUUGGAUAUCCGCGUCCAAGCAGUUAGGCUGGGAAAUAGGCAAAUCCGUUUCCCGUGAAGGCUGAGCUGUGAUGGCGAGCGAAUUAUAGUAGCGAAGUUCCUGAUUCCACACUGCCAAGAAAAGCCUCUAGCGAGGUGAGAGGUGCCCGUACCGCAAACCGACACAGGUAGGCGAGGAGAGAAUCCUAAGGUGAUCGAGAGAACUCUCGUUAAGGAACUCGGCAAAAUGACCCCGUAACUUCGGGAGAAGGGGUGCUCUGUUAGGGUGCAAGCCCGAGAGAGCCGCAGUGAAUAGGCCCAGGCGACUGUUUAGCAAAAACACAGGUCUCUGCGAAGCCGUAAGGCGAAGUAUAGGGGCUGACGCCUGCCCGGUGCUGGAAGGUUAAGAGGAGCGCUUAGCGUAAGCGAAGGUGCGAAUUGAAGCCCCAGUAAACGGCGGCCGUAACUAUAACGGUCCUAAGGUAGCGAAAUUCCUUGUCGGGUAAGUUCCGACCCGCACGAAAGGCGCAACGAUCUGGGAACUGUCUCAACGAGAGACUCGGUGAAAUUAUAGUACCUGUGAACGGAAAGACCCCGUGGAGCUUUACUGCAGCCUGAUAUUGAAUGUUGGUACAGCUUGUACAGGAUAGGUAGGAGCCUUGGAAACCGGAGCGCCAGCUUCGGUGGAGGCAUCGGUGGGAUACUACCCUGGCUGUAUUGACCUUCUAACCCGCCGCCCUUAUCGGGCGGGGAGACAGUGUCAGGUGGGCAGUUUGACUGGGGCGGUCGCCUCCUAAAAGGUAACGGAGGCGCCCAAAGGUUCCCUCAGAAUGGUUGGAAAUCAUUCGCAGAGUGUAAAGGCACAAGGGAGCUUGACUGCGAGACCUACAAGUCGAGCAGGGACGAAAGUCGGGCUUAGUGAUCCGGUGGUUCCGCAUGGAAGGGCCAUCGCUCAACGGAUAAAAGCUACCCCGGGGAUAACAGGCUUAUCUCCCCCAAGAGUCCACAUCGACGGGGAGGUUUGGCACCUCGAUGUCGGCUCAUCGCAUCCUGGGGCUGUAGUCGGUCCCAAGGGUUGGGCUGUUCGCCCAUUAAAGCGGUACGCGAGCUGGGUUCAGAACGUCGUGAGACAGUUCGGUCCCUAUCCGUCGCGGGCGCAGGAAAUUUGAGAGGAGCUGUCCUUAGUACGAGAGGACCGGGAUGGACGCACCGCUGGUGUACCAGUUGUUCUGCCAAGGGCAUCGCUGGGUAGCUAUGUGCGGACGGGAUAAGUGCUGAAAGCAUCUAAGCAUGAAGCCCCCCUCAAGAUGAGAUUUCCCAUUCCGCAAGGAAGUAAGAUCCCUGAAAGAUGAUCAGGUUGAUAGGUCUGAGGUGGAAGUGUGGCGACACAUGGAGCUGACAGAUACUAAUCGAUCGAGGACUUAACCAA